rnacentral:lncRNA from 1 species
CGGGAGGAAAGAAAGGGAGGUAGAUGAUAAUGCGAAAGGGCGCCGCGUCUGGCUUGAUAGUAAAGCCAAAGAAAGACGCCCCAAGACAAGAUACAAUCCCGGAUCCUGCUCGUAAAGACUCAGAUAGAAGUUUAGCCCUGCUAAAUGAGCUAGAGCCUGGGGGUCUUGAAUCUCCGGCGGGAGAGUGAUCAGAAAGGAGGAGCCGACGAAGCACGAACAAAAAAGAUUGAAAACGGCUAUUACUAUUAAUAUAAAAC